rnacentral:rRNA from 1 species
UACUGCAUUUUUUCUUACACAUGUGUUUUUCUUUUUGAAAACUUUGCUUUGGUAGGCCUUCUAUAUGGGGCCUGCCAGAGAUUAAACUCAACCAAAUUUUAUUUAAUGUCAACCGAUUAUUUAAUAGUCAAAACUUUCAACAACGGAUCUCUUGGUUCUCGCAUCGAUGAAGAACGCAGCGAAAUGCGAUAAGUAAUAUGAAUUGCAGAUAUUCGUGAAUCAUCGAAUCUUUGAACGCACAUUGCGCCCUUUGGUAUUCCAAAGGGCAUGCCUGUUUGAGCGUCAUUUCUCCCUCAAACCCUCGGGUUUGGUGUUGAGCGAUACGCUGGGUUUGCUUGAAAGAAAGGCGGAGUAUAAACUAAUGGAUAGGUUUUUUCCACUCAUUGGUACAAACUCCAAAACUUCUUCCAAAUUCGACCUCAAAUCAGGUAGGACUACCCGCUGAACUUAAGCAUAUCAAUAGCCGGAGG